UAGGCUUAUCCACCCUUGAAGUCCCAACACCAAACAAGCACCCUGAUGCAUUAACAAGAUGUACCAUCAAAUAUAUUGAAAAAAACUUGUGGCGGACUCAGCAUGAUGCACCGGGACAAAUCAGCAAGAGUUUUUCUAGAAGCAGCUGAGAUGAAAGUGAAACCUUCAAAGUAGUUCCGGAGACAAACAAAAGUUACCAAAGAGAGCUCAUGAGCAGCUCCACGAAGAACUGCCCAAAACACAGCUUUGGCCUUGUUAUUCAGGUGUGUUCCGGGUUCCAUUUUGAAUGAAAGAUGCCUGAGUGGCCUUGUCUUACCUUGCAACAGCGUCACCUGUGUUCUGCUUGGCACCUCUGGGCUGGCGGUACUACUGUAACUCUGACACUUUGGUCAGCCAUCUAUUCAAAGCGUAAACAUGUGCUCACAGGGGAUGUUUAUGAGUUGUCACCAUCUGGUAUACUGUAAGUGAGAGGGCUGUAGCAGUCAGCUGAUUAAG